UACGGGGGGAGCAAGCGUUGUUCGGAUUUACUGGGCGUAAAGGGCGCGUAGGCGGCGGUUUGAGUCCCUGCGUGAAAUCUCCCGGCUCAACCGGGAGGGUGCGCGGGAUACUGGGCGGCUUGAGGACAUCAGAGGAGAGCGGAAUCCCCGGUGUAGUGGUGAAAUGCGUAGAUAUCGGGGGGAACACCAGUGGCGAAGGCGGCUCUCUGGGGUGCACCUGACGCUGAUGCGCGAAAGCGUGGGGAGCGAACCGG
rnacentral:rRNA from 1 species